AGUUGGGCACUCUAAGGUGACUGCCGGUGACAAACCGGAGGAAGGUGGGGAUGACGUCAAAUCAUCAUGCCCCUUAUGACCUGGGCUACACACGUGCUACAAUGGACGGUACAAAGAGCUGCAAGACCGCGAGGUGGAGCUAAUCUCAUAAAACCGUUCUCAGUUCGGAUUGUAGGCUGCAACUCGCCUACAUGAAGCUGGAAUCGCUAGUAAUCGCGGAUCAGCAUGCCGCGGUGAAUACGUUCCCGGGCCUUGUACACACCGCCCGUCACACCACGAGAGUUUGUAACACCCGAAGUCGGUGGGGUAACCUUUUUGGAGCCAGCCGCCUAAGGUGGGACAGAUGAUUGGGGUGAAGUCGUAACAAGGUAGCCGUAUCGGAAGGUGCGGCUGGAUCACCUCCUUU
rnacentral:rRNA from 3 species